CCCUACGGGGCGCAGCAGGCUGGUCCUUGUCUCUUCACCGCCAUCCGGUGCAUAUAUCACUGCAGUGCACCUCAAAAUGCCAUCGGAGGAGGACUGGUCGGAUGCAUUUGUGGAAGAGGCAGAGCUCUGGCCCGCCUUUCUGUUCGAGCCGAUCUGCACAUAUCCAUCCUUGCGAUCCAGGUUGGCAAAGCCCUGGGGAGAGCCAAAUCCGCAGGUAGCGCAUCCCUUAACCGUCAGCUUCGGUUCCUGGUUGGCGGAGGAAUUGGCGGGAGGGC
rnacentral:rRNA from 1 species